rnacentral:rRNA from 1 species
UACGGAGGGGGCUAGCGUUGUUCGGAAUUACUGGGCGUAAAGCGCACGUAGGCGGCUUUGUAAGUUAGAGGUGAAAGCCCAGGGCUCAACCCUGGAAUUGCCUUUAAGACUGCAUCGCUUGAACAUCGGAGAGGUAAGUGGAAUUCCGAGUGUAGAGGUGAAAUUCGUAGAUAUUCGGAAGAACACCAGUGGCGAAGGCGGCUCACUGGCCCGGUACUGACGCUGAGGUGCGAAAGCGUGGGGAGCAAACAGG